rnacentral:rRNA from 1 species
GACGAGGAUACCCGUUGGAAACAGUGGCUAAGACUGGAUAGGAAGAUAAAAGGCAUCUUUUAUCUUUUAAAAGACCUAGUAAUAGGUAUGCUUUAGGAGGGGCUUGCGCCAUAUUAGUUAGUUGGUAGGGUAAUGGCCUACCAAGACGAUGAUGUGUAGCUGGACUGAGAGGUUGAACAGCCACAUUGGGACUGAGACACGGCCCAAACUCCUACGGGAGGCAGCAGUAGGGAAUUUUCGGCAAUGGAGGAAACUCUGACCGAGCAACGCCGCGUGAAUGACGAAGUACUUCGGUAUGUAAAGUUCUUUUAUCAAGGAAGAAAAGCAAAUGGCGAACCAUUUGUUUGCCGGUACUUGAUGAAUAAGCCCCGGCUAAUUAUGUGCCAGCAGCCGCGGUAAGACAUAAGGGGCAAGUGUUAUCCGGAAUUAUUGGGCGUAAAGGGUGCGUAGGCGGUCUAGUAAGUCAGUGGUGUAAUGGCAACGCUUAACGUUGUCCGGCUAUUGAAACUGCUAAACUUGAGUUAGAUAGAGGCGAGUGGAAUUCCAUGUGUAGCGGUAAAAUGCGUAAAUAUAUGGAGGAACACCAGAGGCGUAGGCGGCUCGCUGGGUCUUAACUGACGCUGAGGCACGAAAGCGUGGGGAGCAAACAGGAUUAGAUACCCUGGUAGUCCACGCCGUAAACGAUGAGUACUAAGUGUCGGGUUAAACCGGUACUGAAGUUAACACAUUAAGUACUCCGCCUGAGUAGUACGUACGCAAGUAUGAAACUUAAAGGAAUUGACGGGACUCCGCACAAGCGGUGGAUCAUGUUGUUUAAUUCGAAGAUACCCGAAAAACCUUACCAGGUCUUGACAUGUUUUUGCAAAAUGAUAGUAAUAUCGUGGAGGUUACCAGAAACACAGGUGGUGCAUGGUUGUCGUCAGCUCGUGUCGUGAGAUGUUAGGUUAAGUCCUAAAACGAGCGAAACCCUUAUCGUUAGUUGCCAGCACGUUAUGGUGGGGACUUUAACGAGACUGCCAAUGAUAAAUUGGAGGAAGGUGAGGAUCACGUCAAAUCAGCAUGCCCCUUAUGACCUGGGCUACAAACGUGAUACAAUGGCUGUUACAAAGGGUAGCUGAAACGCAAGUUCUUGGCCAAUCCCCAAAAACAGUCCCAGUCCGGAUUGAAGUCUGCAACUCGACUUCAUGAAGUUGGAAUCGCUAGUAAUCGCGAAUCAGCAUGUCGCGGUGAAUACGUUCUCGGGGUUUGUACACACCGCCCGUCAAACCACGAAAGUUGGCAAUACCA